UUCCUGUCUCAAAAGAAAUCAAAUCAAAUUAAAUUGGAAGUUUUAACAUCUUUUGCUUCCUCUUUAAUCACCGAAAUUCCUCUAUCUAAGGAAUAAGACACAAAAAUUGCUGCUCUAACUUUGUCUAGGGGGAGAAAAAGGCCAAGAAGCUAAGCUACCUCUCUACCGAAACUCACAGAACUGGCUCUCCUCCUUAUAGUUCUAGUGCAGACAAUUGUUGCAAAUCUAACAGCAAAAGGCUUCUGCCAGUCCUCUCGGUACUAAUCCUUUAAGUUCAGUUUUUGAUAAAUUAUGUCAAUUGGAAUCGGUCUAAAUAGCUUCCUAGGGUUGCUGGCAACAUGUGGGACUUCUUACACCUCUUGCAGUCUGGAGCCACAAAGAACAAUUUCUAAAAAAUCUUUAGUAUGCUCUCUAGGAUUAGGAGGAAUCCGAAAAUUCCCAGAUCUGCGAUGCCAUCAGCAGCAGAGGUAAUUUACUAGGAAAACAAGCUCAAGCCGCAGAGGCAAAGGUUGAUUUUCAGGUUGGCUUCCUUACCUGUCAUCUUCCUCUUGACGCGCAAACAUUUUUAAAUGUCCAAGGGGUGAUUCAGCAAGUUACAAAGACAAGAAGCCCUAGGGAGGAAAAUAUAGUUUUCUUCACAACCUGGUCAACCUUCUCUAUUACAUAUUUCCUUUAAGCACAGUAAUCGCUUUUGUUUUCACAUUACCAACUCCCCUCAUUGCUCCUUCCUAUAUCUUUUUAAAUCAAGUCUCUAGAAUUUUACAAAUGAAAACCUAACCAAAUCCCCUAUUGUUACUGUUAUGAGUGACACCUGUCAUACAUUGGAGCCAACAUCCCCUCUUUUCUCUGGUGCAGCAGACAGACAUUUGAUGUCAAAUACAACAGGAUAAAAUGGAAAGUACAUGGAAGAAGAAACAUAUAUGUUGUUCCUAGCUGACACUACAAUGUAAAAAGGGUGCAAGUUGUCAGCAAGUCAGCCUCCAUGGGAGUCAGAGCAGUUACCAAAUGGGGAAAAGGGAGCAGAAAGAAGAGCAGCUGCUAAGGCCUGUAGGUGAGGAAGGCCAAGUCCAUGUACCUUCCAGGAAAAGAUAUCAGAGCAAGAAGCCUGAGGGGAGCUUGGCCCACAGAAGUUUCUAUCUCUCUCCGUGCUUCAAGGCCUACAUAGCUCAUGUAAGUGUGCCCGCUCCUGAGGAGUUGGAGGGGAGACAAGCCAGUUGGCUGUCUCCUUUCUGGCCCCAGGGGCUGGAAGUCCUAACUGCAGGGGCUUUCUCACAGUGCAAUAGACUAAAACCUACCUGGAACUCCUGUACCAACCCAUAGGUGAAGAGACCAUCAGUCUUCGCAGCUCUGGGGGUUCUCCCCACUUAAGGUAUCCUAGCAACUGGACCGGAGGCCCAUUGAGCAGACAAGGGAAAAUAACAACACAUGUAAGGGAGCCCGGAAGUCAGAGAGGAGAAAAAGUGUCUCAGAAUUUUCCCUAAAAAGGAUGACUCCUAAUGAUAACUAGCCAACACAUUUAUGUAAC